UGGUGCGGGUCACCCUGCUGCACCAGCUGUUCAGUCACUUAUCCUAACAGGCCCAUCUCUGGGAGAGCAGCAGGGUGAAAGGCCUGGACCAAGCCGGUGCAGCUAGGCCAGGGGCCAGCACUGCACCGCUCACGGGAGACGUCAGGACUAGGCACCGGCACGGCGUGUGAAGGCCACAAUCCCGGCAGGCCUGGCAGCGUGCCUGUGUGUCACGAUGAUGCAGCAAAGGGCGCUGUUUGCCCAGGAGGGGCCACACCGCAGGUCCCAAUCAUUUGCUGCCUUCUGGGGCAAGUUCUGCUGCACACCGGACCUUUGGCCUUUUGUCCUGCUGCCCUCGCACGGGGAGACCGCUCUCUGAAGACGCUGAUGGGAGGCCGUGGGGCUCAGAGGCUUCGCAGUGAGGCUGUGACCCCCAUCUGCACGGGGUGGGAGCCGGUGGGGCUGGGGCCGUGGAGGAGUUUUCCACCCCUGCUACCUGGAUUCUUUCACAUCUUCCUGUGGAGCUUCGCGGCUUUGUGCAGACGGGCUUUGGGUAGUGCUGCUAGGUUUAUUCCUACAGUUGGGCUUGCUAUUAUGAAAGUUGACUUUUAUAAAAUUCAUAUUUGUUUUUUACUGAUGUGCGAAAAUGAAAUUUGCCUGGCCACACUGAUUUUUCAAAUCCGGUAAUUUUAAGAACUCAUUCAUUCUGGCAAUUUUGGAUAUUACAUAUGUUUUAAAUUUAGUGCUGAUCACUCAGUGAACCCAUGCAGUGGCGUAUGGGAGCGCAGUGCGAUGACGACUCCUCAUCUGGGGAUGCACAGGGGCUCCAGCGUCAGCAGCCGUCAGUGCCUCGAGCUGCGAGUGAGCCUGUAGGAGGACAGGACCAUCCAGGGCAUUUGGUUGCUGUUCUUUUUAUCGCGGUUUAAUAGGAGAGCAAUUUGCCCUGCUAGCUGCUCUAAGUGCGCAGCUCGGUGGCGUUCAGUACGUUUGUCUCUGCCUCUCCCUCCCCAGCCUUCCCCACCGCCCUGCUCCUGUCCGCCCCUCGCCUUUUGCUCUAAUGUUUGGUUCAGGUUUUGGCAUCUGAGUCCACGGGUGCGUGAUGGAUCUGUGGCUCAUCCCCCCUGUGUGUUCUGGGUUUGGGUCAAGUUGUGUGGCUCACAUAGAAGUAGUUGGGUUUAUACAAGAGUCAUCUGGGCUCUGUGAUCACUGAUGAGAACAUUUUUAGCUUUUGCUUUAAUUUUUUAAAAGUUUUACAGCUACUCCAUCUUCCUAUAUUUUCCUCCUUGACUCAGUUUUGCCAAGUUACAGUUUUCUAUGGAGUUGUCCCAUUUUGCCCAAAGGCUCAACUAUUUUGAACAUUUAAAAUAAUUAACUUAGGGGCUGGGAUUUAGCUCAGUGGUUUGGUGGCCUGUG